CUGCAGCUCGGGAAUUCGUUCCGUAUCAGUUUGCCAUACUAGCACCAUUUCCUGUGCCAAAACAGAGGAAGAGAACCCAAGGCCAGAAAAAAUCAGCCCAGUUAAUAAUUAACCAUUUAAAGAGGGCGGCCGUGACCGCGAGCCGGGAAGAAUCCGCUGCGGGGGAGUAGAAAAACAACUAGCUCAAAGCCAGCGACCGGGCUAGAGAAUUUCCAACCUCCAAUCCAAGCCUCGCCCUCUCCUCUUCUCGCCUCGUCUCCCUCCCAGCAAGUAGCAGCAGCCUCCGAUUCCCUCCUCCCGCCGCCUCCUCAGAUCUGCGCCGCCGCGCCGCCUCCCGGCCAAUCCGUCGUCCUCAUCCCCGCCGCCAGCCGAGGAGUGGCGGCCGCCGCUUGGUUGCUUCCGUCCGGGGCCGGCGCUAUCGGCGGCGGAGGCUGCCGGGCCUUUUCCGGACCGGCAAAUGGUUCCGGAGCUGGGGCUUGGAGGCUUCCGGUUCCGUGUGGUCUGCUGAUUGGGCCCAGCCGGGGCGGCGACUGAUUCUUGGGGGAACCACAAGUUUGCUUCUUUUGAUUUCCUCCGCGCUCAGGUUCAGAUUAUAGAGCGUUUCUGGAUGAAACGGAUAGAUUUUACUGGGUUCAGAUACCGAGCUUCUGUCUUGUGUGCUAGCACCCUUCUCCGCCAGAAAACAGGACUUCUGCAGCUGCUUGAGGCUGUUAGCUUCGGUUGCCUUUUCCUCCAAAGGAGUGGAUAAGUAUCUGGAACCAAUCGAGUGCAGCAAAGCCAUGGAUGUGCCUCUGCCUUCACAGUCCAACCGUGCUGGAUGCAAUGGAAGCGUCGGCAGCCCGUCGGAUGAUCCAUAUGGCGUUACGGCCAUGAUGAACUUUGAUGGGUACUCAGAGCUCUGCGGCAGCCCUUCGUUAGCUGACCAGCUGUUCUCGUUGCUGAACGACUCGUCAACACACCAGAUGUUUGCUAUGUGGUCAUCCUUGGGCUCUUCGCCACGUGCUUCUGGUGUCAGUGAAGAUAUGCAGCUCGAUGCCUAUUCCAGUGUACCUGGGGAUCAAAAGGUUGAUUUGGUAUCUUCGGUGAAUCCAGCUGAAAAUGGGACCGGGAGAAUGGCCAAGAGUUCAGGCGACCUUGGCUCAGAUGGUGAUCCCGAGCAAGGAAGUACUAGCGUGGUUCCGAGGCCUAUUGCCGGCAACUUACUCGCUGACAGGAUGCUCAUGGCUCUGUCUUUGUUCAGGAAGUCACUUGGCGGCGGUGUUCUUGCGCAGGUUUGGAUGCCUGUUGAGCAGGAGGGGCAUGUCGUGCUUAGUACAUGUGAACAGCCGUUUCUGCUUGACCAAGCUCUUGCUGGGUACAGAGAAGUAUCCAGGCAUUUUGUGUUCUCUGCUAAGGAGGAGACCUGCCUUCAACCAGGGCUUCCAGGGAGGGUCUUCAUCUCCGGUGUGCCAGAAUGGACCUCAAAUGUGCUCUACUACAGCAAGCCAGAGUAUUUGAGGAUGGAGUAUGCUCUUCACCAUGAAGUUCGAGGAUCACUUGCAAUGCCGAUAUAUGACCCUAGCAAGGGCUCUUGCUGUGCAGUGCUUGAGCUUAUCACAAAGAAGGAGAAACCUGACUUCGAUGCAGAAAUGAACAACCUUCGCCAUGCAUUGCAGGCUGUGAACUUGGAGACAGCAAAAGAUUGUAUCGAUCAGAAGGUUUAUUCAGCAAAUCAGAAAGCCACCUUCACUGAGAUUUUGGAUGUUCUAAGAGCUAUUUGCCAUGCACACAUGCUUCCUUUGGCCCUUACAUGGGUCCCUUCAUCAAAUGGCAGUGAUGGUGGUUAUGUUGGACAUGAUAAUGUCCUUGAUUCUCAGUCAGGAAAAGCGAUACUCCGCAUCCAUGAAUCAGCGUGUUAUGUUAAUGAUGCAAAGAUGCAAGGUUUUUUUCAUGCAUGCACUGAAACUCACCUUGAGAAAGGGCAAGGUAUUGCAGGCCGAGCACUCAAGUCCAAUCUGCCGUUCUUCUCUCCUAAUAUAAGAGAAUACGGAAUUAAGGAUUACCCACUCGCACACCAUGCUCGUAAGUUUGGUCUGCAUGCUGCUGUAGCAAUCCGGCUAAGGAGCACAUACACUGGUGAUGAUGACUACAUACUAGAAUUCUUUCUACCAAUCAACUGCACAGGCAGUGAAGAACAACAGAUGUUAUUGAAUAACCUGUCCAGUACUAUGCAAAGAAUAUGCAAAAGUUUGCGAACAGUUUCUGAAGCAGAGGUUGAUAAAGUUGACGCUUGUACUGCAGUAAUGUAUAAGGCAACCAGUGGAAGUUGCUUGCCUACUGGUCAGUCUGGGAGUUCUUCACAUGGUGAUCAACCUGCCACAGAAGAGGCAUUCCAGGAUCUAUCUUUAAUUGAUAAGCAAGGGGACAUGUCCGAGCAGGCACAGUCUAGUUCAAUGCGACUUGCGGAGAAAAAGCGCAGUACAGCGGAGAAGAAUAUUGGCAUGGAUGUUCUCCGUAAGUACUUUUCUGGGAGCCUAAAGGAUGCUGCAAAGAGCCUCGGUGUUUGUCCAACAACCUUGAAACGGAUAUGCCGCACACAUGGAAUUUCGCGAUGGCCAUCUCGCAAGAUAAACAAGGUCAACCGUUCGUUAAAGAAGAUCCAAACUGUCAUUAACUCGGUCCAUGGAGUGGACAGCUCUUUGCAGUAUGAUCCAGCUACUGGAUCUCUUGUUCCAGCAGUUUCUCUGCCAGAGAAGACGUCAUUCCCUUCAUGUGAUGCUGUGUCUAGUCCAUCUGUUGGGAAAACUGUGGAUGAAAAAUCUGGCCCAAAAUCUGAGCAAGGGUAUUCGUCACCUGAAGGAUGGGAAAGAGAUAGCUGUCAGUUGCAGCGCCCUGAUGCGCAGAAAGGGGAAGGCGAUGAAUUUCACAUGCAGACAACUAACUAUAGUGGCAGUGGUGAUCACGGCUCUUAUGGUCCGAAUGUCACACAUCAUAUUAUUUCUGAAGGAACACAAGGACCAUUAUAUCCCACUGGUGCUGUUAGUGCUUUACAUGACAAAGAAACAGGUUGCAUCGAACCUUUGCCCUGUGUCCUCCCAAGCAUCAAGACUACCAGGGACCAAAUAGUGGGAAGGAACUCACCACCCAUGCAACAAGCAGAUAUUGAUAUGUUUGAUGAUCGCGAAGGCAGGGAGCAUACUCAUCCUUCUACCUCUGGUAUGACAGACUCUUCUAGCGGCAGUGCAUCAAGCCACCCUACAUUCAAGAAGAACCCAGCACGCCCACUUAAGGACAAGAGCAGCCCUGCACUUACGGUCAAGGCGACGUACAAUGGAGACACCGUGCGGUUCAAGUUCUUGCCAUCGAUGGGCUGGUACCACCUGCUGGAAGAAAUAGCCAAGAGGUUCAAGCUGUCGACCGGGGUGUUCCAGCUCAAGUACAAGGAUGACGAGGACGAGUGGGUCAUCAUGGCGAACGACUCCGAUCUCCAGGAGUGUGUCGACGUCAUGGACUCGAUGGGCACGCGAAACGUGAAGCUCCAGGUCCGGGAUCUCCCGUGCCUCAUCAGCAGCUCGGGCAGCAGCAGCUGCUUGCAGCUGGAAGGACACAAUUCAUGACACGGUGAGGAAGUCUAAAAAAGGAUCUUUUCUUACCCUCAACUGUAUCAUACUGUGGUAGGUGUAGUCUACGCUGUGUAGCAACAGGGUUUGGUAGUCUGUACUGUACGCGUGUAGCGUGUUAUGUAGCGGCAAUGGCGAACAGGAAGUGUAGCGAUCGUCGAAUGUCAUGGAGGUCCCUGAGAGGAUAUCAUGACAAUAAUCUGUUGUCAUGAGGGUCUGCGGUGCCUGGCUGCCAAUGUAUCGAAAACUCGAACUCCUGGCUGUGUUAUGCAUGCCGGAGGAAACCAAUGAAUGUUUCUGGACUUCCCAUGGUUC
rnacentral:rRNA from 1 species